rnacentral:rRNA from 1 species
UAACCUACUAAAUAGCCCGUAUUGCUUUGGCAGUACGCUGGCUUCUUAGAGGGACUAUCGGCUCAAGCCGAUGGAAGUUUGAGGCAAUAACAGGUCUGUGAUGCCCUUAGAUGUUCUGGGCCGCACGCGCGCUACACUGACAGAGCCAGCGAGUACUCCCUUGGUCGAAAGACCCGGGUAAUCUUGUUAAACUCUGUCGUGCUGGGGAUAGGGCAUUGCAAUUAUUGCCCUUCAACGAGGAAUUCCUAGUAAGCGCAAGUCAUCAGCUUGCGUUGAUUACGUCCCUGCCCUUUGUACACACCGCCCGUCGCU